rnacentral:lncRNA from 1 species
AACAUUUAAAUAAAUUGAAAAGCCAAAAUAAUCAUUGAUGAGAGAUUAAACCAAAAAAAUUCAGGUGAGCGAUUCAGGCUCUUGAGAGCCUCUUGUUGUAACUUGAACUGUUUUGGUGCAUAUACAUGUAUUGGGAAAAGUAACUAAAUAUUGCAGUAAAAAUAUUUUUUAUUUUUAUAUUAAUUCUUUCUUGUUUGUUAAUACUGAUGCUUUCCAGACCACCUGGACACAACUAUGUUUAGUACUUUUUGAUUUUGUGAGCUUGCUAUAUUUUGCUGCAGAAGCGAAACAAUAUUAUUGAAAAUACUUUUUUAUUUUCUGUAAUUAACAGAUAUUAAAUGGACUUAGUUUUUUGUUUAACUUAUAUUUAAAUACAGUCAGGAGUUAAAAAUAACCAAUAACUUUGUGAAACCUUAUUUGAAUGUGAAACUUUGACAGAACCUAUUUUUAGAUCAAGAAAAAAACUUAUACAUGUAAUUAUUUUUAUGAAUAAAUGGAAUUCAUUUUUGAGUCAGCAAACAACAUAUAUAACAAUUAUAGACUGACAUCAGCAAGUUUACAUGCUUGUCUUCUGGCUUUAAGCUCUGUCCAUUUGUAAAGUAUUCAUGGUUUUCUGGCAUAAAAUUGAUGGCUGACAAAAUAUUUUGUAUGCCAAACUUUUUUUAUUAAGUAUGUAUUCUUCUAACGUUUCAGUCUCAUUAAAAUCUUGUUCUGGAAUUAUUUCAAAACUAUGGAAAAUAAGUGGAAAAAAGUAAUGUAAUUAAUAAAUAUCAUAAUCAAACUAAACUCUGUGAAAAAAAUGGGUAUUUACAAUCAGUAGUUUUUGAGUAAUUGAUGAUUCAAAUUUAAUUACCAAUCAAGGCAGUCUAUUUAGCCAAAAAAUUGAGAAAAUAGGCGAGUGGUACAAAAAAAAUAAUUUCCAGGAACAUAUACAUCCCAUAUCACUUUUGUCUUUUCAAACUACUUAGAUAUGUAUUUUUUUCUAUCAUUUAUAACAAAAAAAAAACUUGAGAUCAUAUGCAUUUUGUUCUUAAAACAGAAAAAAAUCACAUAUUUACAAAAUUGACAGCAUGGUAAAUUUGCUUCGAAAAAGCAUCAAAAUGUGAAAAAUUUCUUAUAUUAAAACCUACCUAUAGUUUUUUAAAGUUAAAUUUAUUCAGAUUGGUCCACUUCAUCUUCAUUGAAAGUAUUAAAAAAGGAAGUGUGAUUUAUUUUCAUGUUAAUAGCCCAAAAAUCGGCAAAAAAUGGUGAAAAAUGGGUAAAUCAGCAAAAUUUUGUACUUUCAAAGUGCUGUAGCAAAAAAAGAAGUGCACCACCAUAUGAUUUUUUCUUCACCAAUUAUUUUUUUUACAGUCAUAAACCCAAAAAUCAGGUUAAGAACAAAAGUUUUAAUUCUAGAAAUUUUUGGCUCCUCAGAGGUGUACAUCCUUAAACACAUUUAAUGUGCACAUUACCAAUACAUCCAACAGCUUGGAAAGGGGAAGUAACUUUAAUUAUUACUAUGUAAACAUGAAACUAGAUCUAGACAUGAUGGAACAUAUUUUUAAUUUAUUUAUGAACAUAGUAAAUUGAUGAAUCUAGUCUUGACUUUAACAUUUUUUCAUAUAUAUAAAUUGUUUAAGUUUACUAUUAUCACUUGUUAAUAUCGUAUUUCAUAUGUGCAAAUUCAACCUGACUUUUCAUUAUGAUAAGUUAUACACCUAAUUUAUGUAUUUUUCCUUCAGAUGAGAUGUUAUAAAAAAGGGGUGAGGGAGCAAUAUUUUCUUUUAAUUUCUUAACUUUGAAUUUCAAAUUAUUCAUUUAAAAAUAUACUCAAAUAUUUGUAAAACUUACACAGGCUCAUUGAAACAUCCAACAAUUGUCAAUCCUUAAAAUAAUAUUGAAUUCAAGACAAAAAAUGUGAAUUUUCUGUUAGAACCUUUAUCUAGCUAUUAGUAAUAGUAUAGAAUUCUAUUCCAAUUAUGAAAGACAAUUCUUUAAUCAAACUGUCUAUAUCUUUUAGGAGCAAUUUUGGUAAAUGUUAUUUUGAAUAAGUUGUAAUAAAUGCAUGCAAGUCUUUGUAAAAUAACUGCUUUAUUCAGGCAGAUGAUAAAAUCAGUCACAGCUAUACAUAUAUGAUUUAUUCAAAAAUGUUUUAAUUAUUAUUAUAAAAACUAAAUGAGCUUUAUCUAAAAUAUUUUGCUGUUGAUGCCAUCAAUGCUUCUGUAAAGGUUUCACAAAUAGAACAAAAAUACUGACUUGCAUAUGUUUUAUUGUGUUUAAGAAUGUGAGGGUUCUCUACUUUUGUGAUAUUUUUAAUUUGCUAAACCAUUUUGUAGCAAUUGAUGUUACAAUUGUCAUGUUAUCAUUUAUGGCACAAAGUUCACAACAUUCAAUAUAUUUAUUACACUGUGAUAUUUUUGUCAGAAAAAUAAAAU